CGGAACGCCCACAGCAAGAAAACGUUGUUUAUCCCAAUCUGGACGAAUCAGUCAUUUUUGAAAACAAUGUUGAGUUCACGAUAAUCGAUGGUGUACGAAUUGAUAGUGAAAAUUUUGCAAAUAUGGUGAUUACCAAGACAAUGAGAAAACGUGCUGACACUCUUGUGCACGAGAUAUGGCCGCCUGGUGUGAUGAAGAAUAUGUAUCUGAGAUUGCCGAAGAAUCCUAAACCAGAUGAUAUUAUUGUUAACAGCGCAGAUAAGCGUAAAGUGAGAAGGAUAUGCCUGUUUCUACAACGAAAAAAAUAAAUCCCAUACAUAAAAAGUGGAGAAGACGAUAUAAAGUAUCAUCUGGGAAAAUGGAUGAGUGAAAUUUCUAAACAAUGCAGAAAAAAACACAAAAAUAAUUAAGAGUAUCACUAGAUAUUCGAACUUCAUAAAGUCCUAAAAAUCAAUAUGAG